rnacentral:tRNA from 1 species
GGGGAAUUAGCUCAGUUGGCUAGAGCAUUUGCCUUGCACGCAAAGGGUCAAGGGUUCGAGUCCCUCAUUCUCCACCA